rnacentral:rRNA from 1 species
GCGUUAAUCGGAAUUACUGGGCGUAAAGCGUGCGCAGUCGGUUCCGCAAGUCAGAGGUGAAAUCCCCGGGCUCAACCUGGGAACUGCAUUUGAAACUACGGGGCUAGAGUGUGUCAGAGGGGGGUGGAAUUCCACGUGUAGCAGUGAAAUGCGUAGAGAUGUGGAGGAACACCAAUGGCGAAGGCAGCCCCCUGGGAUGACACUGACGCUCAUGCACGAAAGCGUGGGGAGCAAACAGG